CUGUCCUGGGGUAAUGUCAGUUAUAUAAAUUGCUCAGUAGGCAGAGAGAAAGCACCUUGGGAUGCAGCACAUCUCAGAUGGAUCUUGGGGAAAAUAAGGGUGGCACAAUGAGGUGCUUGAACAGUCUGUGUCCGGGACUAGACAAGGGUUGUUCUGGGGCUCAUAGUCAAUUCCCUGUAGGGGAAAACAUUACCCACAUGUACCUGGACAAGAGUAGUCAGCGGUGGGCGGUAGGCACAAAACAGCUGCUCAUACCUUAUAGAGCGGGAGCUUGCUGGUCUGUCCCCGAGUGCAGGCAGGAACCAGGAGAUGCAGCCCCAGACACCAACCACAGGGGCCAAACGCAUCUCACAUGUCCCAGGACUGGAACAAACAGCAGCGUGCUGGAUGAGGAUAGCUACUGCAGAAAACAAAUACAGUGAGGAGACUGUCCGGCCAACUUCCAGCCCAGAUAACAAUGGGGAGAUGGAUCGGGAAACUUUGCUGCCAAUCACCUCAGGGACCAACCGCAUCCCACGUGUUGUGGGACAUAGACAAUCAGUGGCACGCACUGUGGAGUAAUGCAGUGGGGGGUGGGGUGGCAGCCCGUCCGUCUCGCAUCCCACACACGAAGAAGGAGGUGUGUGCAGGGGCUCAGCUCACUAUCUCCGUUGGGAAGACAUGCAGCUUAUGUGUCUCGGAGUGAUGGUAGCCAGCAGCGCACCCCAGAUGUAGAGCAGCAGACUCACUGCGUCCCGUUAGCACCAAAGCACACGGAGGGGUAUACCAACAUCCAGACCCGAUGGCACAUGGCACCACAGCAAGGAGGAGGGGAUAACCUGAAGAAAUAAAAGCUCUCAGCACGUCUCCAUGGUUACCGGCAAGCCUGAUGACAUCACUUCCUGGCCGGCUGUGAUGCCGAGACCGGAAGUGCGGGACAGGGAAAGCUAGGGAGCUCCGUGGUCCAUGCAGCUGAGAGUCGUUAAUCUGGGGAUUUCACAUAUGGGAACAACAUUACCGUUAAAUUGGUUAUUUACCCCAUAGAGCUCUUCCAAUAUCCAUUGAUAUGAGCCCCUGAUGAAGUCCUUUGGGACGAAACGCGUUGGCUUUGGUUCAAUUGGGAGAACAUCAGGCAUCUUUUAAGAAAUACCAUUGGAUGAAACAAUCACAUUUUACAAAACUGAAGUCUGUAUUUUAAUUGUAUUUGCCGUUGUACAUUAAUGCAACAUUUUUUACAUAUUGCAAUGUUCUGUUCAAUGGUAACAUAUGAAUAAAUUGAACGUUUUUUAUUAAAUUGUGUUUAAAAUUUGGAA